GACGAACGCUGGCGGCGUGCUUAACACAUGCAAGUCGAACGGAAAGGCCCUGCUUUUGUGGGGUGCUCGAGUAGCGAACGGGUGAGUAACACGUGAGUAACCUGCCCUUGACUUUGGGAUAACUUCAGGAAACUGGGGCUAAUACCGGAUAGGAGCUCCUGCUGCAUGGUGGGGGUUGGAAAGUUUCGGCGGUUGGGGAUGGACUCGCGGCUUAUCAGCUUGUUGGUGGGGUAGUGGCUUACCAAGGCUUUGACGGGUAGCCGGCCUGGGAGGGUGACCGGCCACAUUGGGACUGAGAUACGGCCCAGACUCCUACGGGAGGCAGCAGUGGGGAAUAUUGCACAAUGGGCGGAAGCCUGAUGCAGCAACGCCGCGUGCGGGAUGACGGCCUUCGGGUUGUAAACCGCUUUCGCCUGUGACGAAGCGUGAGUGACGGUAAUGGGUAAAGAAGCACCGGCUAACUACGUG
rnacentral:rRNA from 1 species